AGAGUUUGAUCCUGGCUCAGAUUGAACGCUGGCGGCAUGCCUUACACAUGCAAGUCGAACGGCAGCACGGGGGCAACCCUGGUGGCGAGUGGCGAACGGGUGAGUAAUAUAUCGGAACGUACCCUAGAGUGGGGGAUAACGUAGCGAAAGUUACGCUAAUACCGCAUACGAUCUACGGAUGAAAGUGGGGGCUCGCAAGACCUCAUGCUCAUGGAGCGGCCGAUAUCUGAUUAGCUAGUUGGUGAGGUAAAGGCUCACCAAGGCGACGAUCAGUAGCUGGUCUGAGAGGACGAUCAGCCACACUGGGACUGAGACACGGCCCAGACUCCUACGGGAGGCAGCAGUGGGGAAUCUUGCGCAAUGGGCGAAAGCCUGACGCAGCGACGCCGCGUGAGGGAAGAAGGCUUUAGGGUUGUAAACCUCUUUCAGCGGGGACGAGGCCGACACGGUUAAUAGCCGUGAGCGGUGACGGUACUCGCAGAAGAAGCCCCGGCUAACUACGUGCCAGCAGCCGCGGUAAUACGUAGGGGGCAAGCGUUGUCCGGAAUCAUUGGGCGUAAAGCGCGUGUAGGCGGCACGGUCAGUCUGGUGUGAAACCUUGGGGCUCAACCCCAAGCCUGCACUGGAUACUGCCGCGCUCGAGUCCGGGAGAGGGAAGCGGAAUUCCUAGUGUAGCGGUGAAAUGCGCAGAUAUUAGGAAGAACACCGAUGGCGAAGGCAGCUUCCUGGAACGGUACUGACGCUGAGACGCGAAAGCGUGGGGAGCGAACAGGAUUAGAUACCCUGGUAGUCC
rnacentral:rRNA from 1 species